rnacentral:rRNA from 1 species
AUUGAACGCUGGCGGCAGGCUUCACACAUGCAAGUCGAGCGCGCGGCGGACGGGUGAGUAAUGUCUGGGCAACUGCCUGAUGGAGGGGGAUAACUACUGGAAACGGUAGCUAAUACAGCAUAACAUCAGAUGUGCCCAGAUGGGAUUAGCUAGUAGGUGGGGGAAUGGCUCACCUAGGCGACGCUCCCUAGCUGGUCUGAGAGGAUGACUAGCCACACGGGAACUGAGACACGGUCCAGACUCCUACUGGAGGCAGCAGUGGGGAAUAUUGCACAAUGGGUGCAAGCCGGAUGCAGCCAUGCCGCGUGUGUGAAGAAGGCCGUCGGGUUGUAAAGCACUUUCAGCGAGGAGGCGUUACUCGCAGAAGAAGCACCGGCUAACUCCGUGCCAGCAGCCUCGGUAAUAC